AGUGAACGCUGGCGGUAGGCCUAACACAUGCAAGUCGAACGGCAGCACAGGAGAGCUUGCUCUCUGGGUGGCGAGUGGCGGACGGGUGAGGAAUACAUCGGAAUCUACUCUGUCGUGGGGGAUAACGUAGGGAAACUUACGCUAAUACCGCAUACGACCUACGGGUGAAAGCAGGGGACCUUCGGGCCUUGCGCGAUUGAAUGAGCCGAUGUCGGAUUCGCUCGUUGGCGGGGUAAAGGCCCACCAAGGCGACGAUCCGUAGCUGGUCUGAGAGGAUGAUCAGCCACACUGGAACUGAGACGCGGUCCAGACGCCUACGGGAGGAAGCAGUGGGGAAUAUUGGACAAUGGGCGCAAGCCUGAUCCAGCCAUACCGCGUGGGGGAAGAAGGCCUUCGGGUUGUAAAGCCCCUUUGUUGGGAAAGAAAUCCAGCUGGCUAAUACCCGGUUGGGAUGACGGUACCCAAAGAAUAAGCACCGGCUAACUUCGUGCCAGCAGCCGCCGUAA
rnacentral:rRNA from 1 species